UGGGGAAUAUUGCACAAUGGGCGCAAGCCUGAUGCAGCCAUGCCGCGUGUGUGAAGAAGGCCUUCGGGUUGUAAAGCACUUUCAGCGAGGAGGAAGGUGGUGAGCUUAAUACGCUCAUCAAUUGACGUUACUCGCAGAAGAAGCACCGGCUAACUCCGUGCCAGCAGCCGCGGUAAUACGGAGGGUGCAAGCGUUAAUCGGAAUUACUGGGCGUAAAGCGCACGCAGGCGGUUUGUUAAGUCAGAUGUGAAAUCCCCGGGCUCAACCUGGGAACUGCAUUUGAAACUGGCAAGCUAGAGUCUCGUAGAGGGGGGUAGAAUUCCAGGUGUAGCGGUGAAAUGCGUAGAGAUCUGGAGGAAUACCGGUGGCGAAGGCGGCCCCCCUGGACGAAGACUGACGCUCAGGUGCGAAAA
rnacentral:rRNA from 1 species